AAAGAACUGCCAGAUAGUUUUAGUCACUUUAUGAAGAUUCCUGGACUUCAGCUGGAGGGAAACUGAGACUUGGCUAGCUUGGCAAGAGGUCCAAGUACCCCUUAAAGACUUGGGGGCCCCCAAUCAAACUUUUUGUUUAGAGGAGUCAGUGCCACAAAAUGCUUUGAAAUUCCCUCUUCCUGCCCCCAUCAGCACCCAAAAGAGGGAGGAGCCAGAGAUCUUUGGAGACGGAAAGUCUUUCAGGCUCUCAGGGGGCUCCCCUUGGGACCCUGUCUCCCACCCCCUGCCUUGCCAUUGGUUAGGUUCCAAUGUUGUUCCUAAAAAAUCCUAGGAUGGCAAGAGCUCCUUCCUUCUAGAGCCCACUGGAAAACAGAAUUGUUCACCUUGACCCAGAGGGGCAUCUUUGAGGGGCUUUGAGCAGGGGCCAGCCUUGCUGAGGGAAUCCUGAAUGAGGAGCAGGUGGAGAGAAAAAGGAGGCCCUUCUUAACUGAGGAAGGCAGGCUGGAAGGGAGGGGCUGGGGAUAAUUUAUGAUAUCAUUGUUCCCCCGCCCCACUUUCCCAGCCACCACCCCUCUUCCCAGCCCCCUGCUACUGUACGGUUGCUAGGAGAGCCUGGCUCUGUCUGGGCUGGGAGGGGGGAACAGGCGGGAGACUGUUCCAUCUGGACUCCUCCUCCCCCACCCAGGGCCCUGCACUGAGCCACAUCCACCACCUCUUCCCAGGCCCCAGCGCACACCAGUCUCUUCUAUUCCCCCAAAUCUAGCCAGUGUAGGGGUAGUAGGGCUCCCAGGCAGCUGGGGCAAGGAACAGGAAGAGAGCAUGGAAGGACAGGGGCUGAGACUUGAAGGGGACACUGAGGAAUAGCUGGGCCACUGAGACCUGGGAGCCAGCCCACGCUGGGAAGAGGGCCAGAGGGAGUCAGGCCUGGUGGAGCCCAGGUUUGGGGGGGGGGGAGUCAGAGUCCUUACCUUUGAGGGGAUCCAAUAUGGAGGGCAAGGCAGAGCUCCUAUGCCCACCCCUCCACACUGUCGAGGUCAGGCUAAGAGACUUGGCAAAGGCAGGAGGAGGAGGAGCUGGGGCAGGGAGGAGGGAGGUAAGUCUGAGAAGGCUGAGGAGAGACUAAGAAGAAGGAAGGUGACACUGAUCACUCAGUGGGGAAGGGCAAUGCAGGGAUGUGGCUGGCAUCCUUUCCUCUUCUGGAAAUUUUCUUCUCAGUUUUAAGGCUCUUGGAGAAGUAGGGCGAGGUGAACGCUGGGGGCAUCCAAAGCUGCUGGCUCCUAGCUCUGGAAGGGCAGGGACGGAGCACCGUACCCACAGCUGAUUCGUACCAUUUGUUUGGACAAGUCCUUUCUUAGCUAUUAUCUCAGUUAAUUUUCCCAACAGCUCAGAAAACUGGGCAAUACUAUCCCCCCUUUACAGAAGAUGAAUCAAAGCCUCAAGGAGGCUUUCCCAGACUCACACACAGUUGGAGGGACUGAGCGAGGAGAGGACCAGGCAGGCAGGUGGCAAUGUCCACAGUGUCUCAGGAGCAGGGGGAAGUCUGCAGGAUGCUGAAACAGUCCUUGCAGGUUGAAGACAGGACUGGAGAAGAGGUCACAGGAGCUGUGGAAGUCACCAGAAUCCACCCAGACCAAAAAGAACCUACUUCACCCACCUGGCCUGAAUUCCCUCUGAGAAGUCUUCCUGGAUUGACUGAAAGACGAGGCUAAGCUCUAGCAAGUUGAACUUGACCGGCUCCUCAAGAAGCUUUGAGAAGAAUGGAAGUGGGGAGGGCCCAGCCUCCAGCCCGGGCAGCCCGUUAUAGCUGGAGCCAUCUGCGAUGAGACUGUGGCCCAUGGCUCCCAGUCCACCAGCUGUCAAUCCCGGCCUAUCCUGGUUUAUCCUAUGUCAUAGGAGCUGUAAUACCCAUGUGCUCUGAGCUGGAAGUCCUAUCUCAUGCCUAAUAAAGACUCUUGAAUAUUUAA